CAAAUACUCCCUCCGUCCGAAAAUAUUUGUCAUCAAAAUGGAUAAAAGGAAAUGUAUCUAGAUGUAUUUUAGUUUUAGAUACAUCUCUUUUUAUCCAUUUUUAUGACAAGUAUUUUUGGACGGAGGGAGUAGAAA
rnacentral:pre_miRNA from 1 species